GUGCCAGGCCUGGUUUUUAGCCAUGCUCUUCUAUCACGGUCCUGCAUUGCCUCUGAGAGCUUGCUGUGGCACACAGAUUCACUCCUCCAGCCAGGGCACUAAAGUGCCAGAUCGCAUCAUUUGCCCGUGUGGAGGCUGUCAGAACAGACUCUGCAGUCAUGUCUAUGCAGACCCAAGCGAGCGACCAUGCAUGGUACUGCAACAGCACAGCGGCUCUCAGCUCCCUCAGGCAUCUCUAGCAAGACAUCCCCUAGACAAGCUCUGUGCCUUCAGAUGCUCCAGGAAACUCUGAAGGAUUCAAGGAUUCUGCCCUAAGUCACCCUCAGGGAAAGAAACACGAUACCUUGCCAAGUUGGCAAGGAAGAUACACUCAAAGUCAUAUAGCCCAGAGAUACGGAGGUGAGCGGAUCAGUCAUUGUGUGACAAGGUAGCACUGGAAAAACAUGGGGCUUACCCAUUCAUAAUAGCCUGCUUUCAAAAAGGAGGCAGGGCCUUGGAGAAGCAGCAGUGCAUGCUAAUGCGUUACCUAGGAAUGGGGAACUCUAGUCCCUUCAACCCAGCACAGCUGUACAGAAGGCUGCUGACACAUGUUGCAAUAUACACAUGAAUCGUCACUGCAGAAAUAGCUGAAAGAUACGUCUUGUGCUACAACUCAGCAAUACUCCCCAAGUUAACAGCUGGGCUGACAUUAAUUAUAAAUCCUUUUCCCUUUUUCUCAUCUCUAAUAGGUCAUCUAAUCUAUGCCAAACGAAUUGCAGGGCUUUUCAGCAAAACAGAUUGUCAAAAGCUCUUUCAUCUACCGGAGAGGUUUAAAUAAUUGGACAUUUCUACUGGAAAACUAAUCUCUGAUCUAAUAGCUGUCACAUAGCUGAAAAUUUCAUUUCAUUCAAUGUUCAUUUCUGUCCAGACAGCUGAGCACCAUGCUGUAUUCCCCGCAAACAAAAUGUCCAUCCAAGAAAAAAAGAGGUUGUUGCAUUCAGUACAGUAUUCAAAAUCUUGAUGUGCCACCAACUAUGCAUGACAAAUGCUGGAGAGGAACAAAGUCUACAGGAAGAGAAGAGCGUGCGUGCUUUGGAGAGGCCGGGGAGUGGGGGAGCCCAGCCCGCAAUGUUCGAGUCCAGCUCCAAUUUUUCUCAGCAUUCCUGCAUUUUUGGAUGGAAGUUAUGGUCUGUGUGCAUUUCUGUGGAGAAGGCAGGGAGGAAGGGAGGGAGUCUUUUCUUUUUCCCAAACAACAUCUCGGCCCGUCUCGGACUCACCCGCCAACAACUAACAACCAAAGACAAACAACAUCACAGCUCCACAAUACUUAAGCUUGAUUGAAUGACGACAAUUCCAUGUUAAAAAAAAAAAAAAGAACAUCAGAGCCUUCCACAGCUGUAUCAACAUUAUCUAUAAAAAAGCAUGACACUACAUGAAGCUUUGGCUGCGCAAGCCAAGAACCUAAAUCAGCCACAGCUUGGAGCAAGGCCAUCACUGAAUUCUCGUGUAAAGUGAUGCUGCCAUAUUGCUUACUUUCCACUGAGGUUUUCCACAAAUUAACAGCUGUAGCAGACUCCCAGAAAACAGAAACUCUUUCCAAGUCUUUCUUCUCUGAAAAUGUUGUUUCUUCACUUUAUUCUUCCCCAUAUGGAAAGGGAGAGGAGGAAAAAAAUCUGAAC
ensembl:lncRNA